UACGGGGGGGGCAAGCGUUGUUCGGAAUUACUGGGCGUAAAGGGCUCGUAGGUGGCCAACUAAGUCAGACGUGAAAUCCCUCGGCUUAACCGGGGAACUGCGUCUGAUACUGGAUGGCUAGAGUUUGGGAGAGGGAUGCGGAAUUCCAGGUGUAGCGGUGAAAUGCGCAGAUAUCAGGAAGAACACCCGUGGCUAAGGCGGCUCUCUAGUACGGUACUGACGCUGAGACGCGAAAGCGUGGGGAGCGAACAGG
rnacentral:rRNA from 1 species